AGAUGAAAUCUCACCAUGUUGCCCAGGCUGGUCUUGAACUCCUGCACUCCAGUGAUCCACCUGCCUCAGCCUCCCAAAGAGCUGGGAUUACAGGCGUGAGCCACCGUGCAAGCCCUACAAUUUUAAAUACUUAAAUGUGGUUAAUGAACUCAAAUCUGCAUGUCUGGUGAAAAUGCCAAGGUUAGUGCUACCCCCAAAAGAUGUGAACGAUGCAGGGCUGGUGAUCCCCAGCACAGCCCCCACCUGACUCCCUAGCUGGGCGAGGCGCAAGGCGGGCAUCCUUGGAGAACGCCUGUGGAUUUUCACAAAGCUCAGCAGGUGGCUAUUCCAACUGCACCUGCUGCUACUGAUGUGACAUAUUUUCCAGAGCAAAUUGACAUGACCCCUGGCACCUGGAGUGAGCCAUUGGCCUGGAAAAUGCUUUUCUCCCUAUAAUCAUUCACAAGGAUGGGGCUGCUGGGCAUGUGGGGCCCUUGCCCAGAUAUCCUCAUCCAUGUCCUCAGCAGCACCUUCAGGCAGGAAGAGCGGGAGUCAGACAUAGGACUCUCCUCCAGGUUCAAGACCACGACCAGCCCAGCCCGUGCAAAGUGCAGGUUAACCUGGGCAGUAGCAGUCACCCGUGGAAUCAGUGCCAGAACUCUGUGCAAGGGAAGCUCCUCAUCGUGGAUGAACCAGGCUAUGUUUGCGAGAGGAGGGAUUUGCUGGUGCAGGGCUGUAACGUCCACAGCCCUAGUGUGAAGCAGUGCUGCUGUGACGGCUGCUGGCCAUGUCUCUUGCUGCCUGCAGCCCAGCCAGGAGCUUCUCCUGGAGCAUCGUGGUGUUCCAGAACCUCUUCAUGGCAGUCGAAGAUCAGUAUUGAGUCAUGUCCGGCCAAAUGCAGGACCUCAUCCCAGGGCCUCAUCCCACCGAUUGGGACCCCAUUGCGAAGAAUUGCUAUGGAGAAAGCCCACCCGAGCUCUUCCCGGCAUGGCGGGUGCAGCGGAUGCUCUCCAGCUUGGGCGAGGAGCUCAUCUCCUGGGGCCCAGCUGCAGCACUCAGGCCAGGCCAUGGGAAGAAGACAAAGGCAGCGCAGGGAAACCUUGGCUUUGACCACCUCUCGUGUUGUCAUCUUUGGCCUCUGUGAAGCAGCUUGGAAAUUCCAGCUGGUCCCAUCGGGGAAGGAAGAAACCACAGCGAGGCUCCGGCAGUGCUGGUUCUUGGAGGACUGGACGCUGGGACCUGCACAGGGACCUGUGACUCAGGCUUGUCAGGGGCCAGGUGUCACUGCCAGUUUUGAUCCAGGCCCCUUCACUGUAAAAUUAUUUAUUGGAUUCCUUUGGAGUAGUGGGAAAAUUAUAAUGUUUUAUGUAGGAGAAUGCCGUGUCAUUCUAGCUGAAAAUGUUCAAGGAAAGUAUUUUUGUUGUUCUCGUGUUCUCAAGUUUCAUGAGUUAAAUCAUCCCUUCACCCAGAUAAAA